AAAAAGGAGAAACAAUGAAUGGAAAAGUGCAGCGAUAAUUUGCGAACUUUUAUUUAUCGUCACCGCGUUUUCUUUUUCAGUUUGUUCUGUUCUUUGUUUUUGGCUUUUUCACUU
rnacentral:ribozyme from 15 species